AUGUCAGCAGCGCCGCAUUGACAAGGCCAACGCAGUCAUGCGGUGUGGUGCCAACACCUGCAGUGGGGUUGGGAGUCAGAAAAGCAGAGUUAAAGGUUUGGGUUAAGAGCAGGGGGAUGCUGGGGAGUUUCCAUAGGUCUGUAGGUGCAGGACAGGCUAUAGUUGGGGUGUGACUUAACUUUAUUGUAGGACGUGAACACCGGUUUGUCAAAUGGAGCUCAGGCCCUGGUGGUCAUCUUUUUCGUUGGUGUUGGGCUGUCCAUCUGCAAGGCAGAUGGGAGGCACGAGAGGAGAAGCCUCCUGCUCUGCUUCCCCAUGCUGCCCUCCCGUGCACAGCCCUGCUCACCAGAUUGCUGGUCUGCCAGCCAUGCCCGUGGCUGUGUGGGGCUGCCUGUUUCCCCAAGCCUGGGUGGAAAGCGGCACAGCAGUCAGCAGGCCAGGUGCCAGCACCUAGAGUGGGGCCCGUGCUCAUCUAAGUCGUAUCAACAGUUGGGGUGAGGGCAGGGGUGUCUUGGGGAGCAGACAGGGGCCCUUCAGGCGCAGGAAGGAUACCAAUUGUGGCAGACUUAUCUGUCUUGUAUGGCACUGAGACCGGUUAGAGAGCUGAGGACAGGCGUGUGUCCAGCUCUGGUUCCAUCUUGGUGUGGACUCCCAUCUGCAAGGCAGAGGAGAAGGAUGAAAGGAGCAGCCUCCUGACCUGCUUCUCUGCUCUGCCCUCCCCUGCACAGCCCCGCUCACCGGGUUCCUGGUCUGAAAAUGGUUUCCUUGGCCAUUUUGUGCUCACUGUGUCAGCAGCGCCGCAUUGACACGGCCACUGUAGUCAUGCGCUGUGGUGCCGGCACCUGCAGUGGGGUCGGGAUUCAGCAAAGCAGAGUUAAAGUUUUAGGGUAACAGCCGGGGGAUGCUAUGGAGCUUCCAUAGGCCUGCAGGUGCAAGACAGGCUACAGUUUGGGCGUGACUUAUCUUUUUUGUAGGACGUGAACACCAGUUUGUCAAAUGGAGCUCAGGCCCUGGUGGUCAUCUGUUUCCGUUGGUGUUGGGCUGUCCAUCUGCAAGGCAGAUGUGAGGCACGAGAGGAGCAGCCUCCUGCCCUACUUCUCUGUGCUGCCCUCCCUUGCACAGCCCCGCUCACCGGGUUGCUGGUCUGAAAAUGGUUUCCUUGGCCAUUUUGGGCUCACUGUGUCAGCAGCGCCAUGUUGAGAUUGCCACUGCAGUCAUGCGGUAUGGUGCUGGCACCUGCAGUGGGGUUGAGAUUCAGCAAAGCAGAGUUAAAGGUUUGGGUUAAUGCAGGGGGAUGCUAUGG
rnacentral:lncRNA from 1 species